CAAAUAGUGCCCAACUAAUAUGCGAGAGCUGCUGAUAUUUUGUUUGUUUCCUGGGUUUGAAUCACAAUUUGAUGACUUGACUGUUCAACUCGACAAAGGCUACGAGGGCCACCAUUAUUGACCCUUCGGCAUCAUGGUCCUCCACUUGUUUAGGCAAAGUUGAAUUAUAUGUACAUAGAGGAUUUGAUAUCUAUUCAGGAAAGUAGUAAGUUGGCUCCUCACUGCAUUUUCACCGGCCACCGUCUACCGUUUGAAUUGUCCAUGCAGCCCUUUCUACUGUCCAUCAAGGUUCAUGCUGUAGUGGAAACAAUGAUAUGUCUUUCUUAGUUGUUCCACCUUCCUACGUUGCCAUGGUUUUAGCUAUAGGAUGCUUUGAUGGUGUUGCCAUGCAUAUGAUUGUGCUGUGUGCAGCUGCUUCCUCCAUCCGAUUUUAUACGGUUCUACAUCUCUGGUUGUAGUUUAUCCAUUAUUUCCUCCUGCAUCAUUUUUGACACCUGAAUUCUAAUCUACUGUAAGUUAAAUAAAACAUGCAAGUAACCUCUUGUUUGUUGUAACAUAAAAGAUUUAUACAAUUGGUAUAUUCUUGAAAUCAUUAGGAUAUGAAAUGAUUCUAUGCAGCAUGUUGUUUCUCUGUCCAUUGAAAGGAUGAUAUGGUUCGACACUGAUAAUGCAAUUUGCUACUGCAAUUUACAAUACUUUAUAGUAUAGUUAUUAAGAAAUGAAGAUUUAGCAUCUAUAUUUAUCUA